GUGCCAGCAGCCGCGGUAAGACGAACCGUGCGAACGUUGUUCGGAAUCACUGGGCUUAAAGGGCGCGUAGGCGGGUCAGCAAGUCCGGGGUGAAAUCUUUCGGCUCAACCGGAAAAGUGCCUCGGAUACUGCUGGUCUUGAGGGAGGUAGGGGUUUGUGGAACUUCUGGUGGAGCGGUGAAAUGCGUUGAUAUCAGAAGGAACGCCGGUGGCGAAAGCGACGAACUGGACCUCUUCUGACGCUGAGGCGCGAAAGCUAGGGGAGCAAACGGGAUUAGAAACCCUUGUAGUCC
rnacentral:rRNA from 1 species